AUUGAACGCUGGCGGCAUGCUUUACACAUGCAAGUCGAACGGUAACAGGGUGCUUGCACCGCUGACGAGUGGCGAACGGGUGAGUAAUGCGUCGGAACGUGCCGAGUAGUGGGGGAUAACGCAUCGAAAGGUGUGCUAAUACCGCAUACGUACUGAGGUAGAAAGUGGGGGACCUUCGGGCCUCACGCUAUCCGCGCGGCCGACGUCUGAUUAGCUAGUUGGUGAGGUAAAGGCUCACCAAGGCGACGAUCAGUAGCGGGUCUGAGAGGAUGAUCCGCCACACUGGGACUGAGACACGGCCCAGACUCCUACGGGAGGCAGCAGUGGGGAAUUUUGGACAAUGGGCGCAAGCCUGAUCCAGCCAUGCCGCGUGUCUGAAGAAGGCCUUCGGGUUGUAAAGGACUUUUGUCCGGGAGCAAAUACCCAGUGCUAAUAACGCUGGGGGCUGAGAGUACCGGAAGAAUAAGCACCGGCUAACUACGUGCCAGCAGCCGCAGUAAGAC
rnacentral:rRNA from 1 species